UACGAGAUUGGUCCACACGCACAACAUAUAUAACUAAUCUUUCAUACUUAUUACUAUUCAGCAAUUGAUCAUUCCUUGAUCUCAACGAGCCUUCAAAAUGAUCAAACCCAUGUUCUCUCUCUUCCUUCUCUCUCUACUCUUCUUCUCCUCAAACUCAUCAACUGUCCACAACCCAAUCAACGUCUGGCCCAAACCACGAACCUUCCUGUGGCCCAACCCACACUCGAUCUUCCUAUCCACAAACUUCACCAUCUCAUCCCCUAACUCCAACCAUCCCUACCUAACUCCCGCCGUCAAACGCUACCUCCGUCAGAUCCUCACCGAGCACCACCGCCCCCUAAUCCCCUCCGCCGCCAACCCCGCCUUAUCGCCGCCGUUGCAAACCCUAACAAUCGCCGUCGCAGACCUCGCCACGCCGCUCCACCACGGCGUCAACGAGUCCUACACCCUCACCAUCCCCCCCGCCGGCGACGGGGCUGUUUCCGCCGGCGCCAAUAUCACGGCGGAGACGGUGUGGGGCGCCAUGAGAGGGCUCGAGACCUUUUCUCAGCUAGUAUGGGGCGACCCGACCCGAGUGGCGGGUGGGUUGUACAUCGCCGAUUGGCCGAUUUUCGGGCACAGAGGGGUGAUUUUGGACACAUCGAGGAAUUACUAUGGAGUAGAUGAUAUAUUGAGGACGAUUGGGGGGAUGAGUGAGAACAAGCUGAAUGUGUUCCAUUGGCACAUCACGGACUCGCAGUCGUUCCCUCUGGUGGUGCCUUCGGAGCCUGAUUUGGCAAGGAAAGGAUCGUAUGGUGAAGAAAUGCAGUACUCGCCGGAGGAUGUGAAGAGGGUUGUAGAGUUCGGGUUGGAACAUGGGGUUAGGGUUUUGCCAGAGAUUGAUAUGCCAGGACAUACAGGAUCAUGGGCUGAAGCUUACCCAGAGAUUGUGACAUGUGCAAACAUGUUUUGGUGGCCUGCUGGAUCUGAAUGGGCCGACCGGCUUGCAUCUGAACCAGGAACGGGUCAACUCAACCCAUUAAACCCCAAGACCUACCAAGUCAUCAAAAAUGUCAUUGGUGACGUUACGACCAUGUUUCCAGAACCAUUUUACCAUGCAGGUUCAGAUGAGAUCAUCCCAGGUUGCUGGAAAGCUGAUCCGUCGAUUCAAACCUUCUUAUCAAAUAAUGGAACCCUCAAUCAACUCUUUGAGAUGUUUGUUAAUUCUACCUUCCCUUACAUUGUCUCCCUAAAUCGUACAGUGGUCUAUUGGGAAGAUAUUUUAUUGGAUGCCAAUAUUAAGGUGAACCCCUCUACCCUUCCCCCCGAGAAUACCAUUUUGCAAACCUGGAACGGUGGCCCGAGUAACACUAAAAAGAUUGUUAGCUCUGGGUAUCGUGCCAUUGUUUCAUCAUCGGACUUCUAUUAUUUGGAUUGUGGGCAUGGAGGUUUUGUUGGGAAUGACAGUUCAUAUGAUCAGAAACCAGGUACUGACCCAGGUAAUGGUGGAUCAUGGUGUGCACCUUUCAAAACAUGGCAAACCAUAUAUAACUAUGAUAUAACAUAUGGGUUGAGCGAGGAGGAGGCAAAAUUAGUGUUAGGAGGGGAGGUGGCACUAUGGUCCGAGCAAGCUGAUCCAACAGUUCUGGAUCAACGCAUAUGGCCAAGAGCUUCAGCAAUGGCAGAGACAUUAUGGUCAGGGAAUCGUGAUGAAACAGGCAUGAAGAGAUAUGCGGAGGCUACAAAUCGGUUGAAUGAGUGGAGGCAUAGAAUGGUUGCCAGGGGAAUCGGAGCUGAACCCAUUCAACCACUUUGGUGUGAAAGGAACCCUGGCAUGUGUAAUACAGUCAAUUCAUUUUAGAUAAGCCAUGAAGAAGAAGAUGAGAUCAAGUGAGCUCUCAGAGCCAAAUGCCGAGGACUUUUAGCAGUUGCUGAUGAUGUCAAUGUAAAGCAAAAUUUCGUUUUGGCGAACUUUUGUUCUGAUCAUAUUAGAACCUCUGAUAGUGUACAUUGAACCAUUGCAGUUGCUGAGGAUAUCAAUGUAAACCAGAAUUCUUUGAACCAUUGUCGGCUAUGUUGGCUUACAUGCCCGUUGCCUCACUUUAGAAUACGAAAAGACACCAAGACAUGGUUGAGAUGUCCAUUCAUGGGGCCUUUAGUGGGUUAUGUAAAUCAGGAAGAAAGCAAUAACCCAAGUGGUUUACUUCUCCAGGGCACCAUUCUUCUUUCAACAGCUUUGUUCCCAACUUCCAAGUUAUCUUAUUACUUAUAGUCUUAAAAUUGGAUUCAAUGUUAAGAUGACUCGAAUCAAUUUGAAAUAUUUCUUCACAUAUAUAGUUGCCCAAUUAAUUGAAUGUCUAUGUGCAGUUGGGGCCACUUCUAGUACAGAAGAUCCAUGCUGGAUGCUUAUUAUACUAAG